rnacentral:rRNA from 1 species
AUAUAGCUGGUUUUCUGCGAAAUUUGUUUUAGCAAAUUGUUUAUUAUAUUAUUAUUAGUAGGUAUAGCACUGAAUAUCUUAUAUGUAUGGAUAUAUAUAUAUAUAUAUAUAUAUAUAUAUCUAUAUGAGUAUGUAUGUAUGUAUGUACAUACAGAGGGAGUAUUGUUAAUACUUAUUUCGGAUAUUUAAUCUCAGAAUGAUUAAUAAGGUAAAAUAAAUAGUCAGACUUUUUGCGAUAAGGUAAAAAGUCGAAAGGGAAACAGCCCAGAACAGUAUAUAAAGCUCCUAAAUUAUUAUUUAGUGAAAUAAAAGAUGUAGUUCUUAUAU